rnacentral:tRNA from 1 species
GUGGCCGUAGCUCAGUGGUAGAGCACCUGGUUGUGGUCCAGGGGGUCGCGGGUUCGAGCCCCGUCGGCCACC